GAAACCUAGGAAGCAAAGCACACAAAGGGCACCUCCAGGAGGCUGCACGCUUCAAGCUCCACUGGAAGAGGCGCAGUUGGAGUCGGCAUCCCCCCAAAUUCCCCUCCAGUGGGCCUUUUUCCUCCAAGACUACUACAACCACAAGCCAGUUACGCAGUGCUUGGGGUGCAGAAGAGUCAGCCAAGAAGCACAAAUGGCUUUGUAGCUGCACUGCAAAGGCAGCAGAUAGAGACAGCCGAUGUGUGGCCAGCACGCUUCCUGCACCCAGCGGUUCAAAAACACUGCUUGGAGCACCAGUGUUGGCACUCCAUAACGAGCAUCCCUGGGAUUCAGCUGCUAUCCAAGAGUGUAACCCCACAGACACUUGGAGAGCCGAGGGCAAGCCAACAGGAAGGUGGCUUCUGUGAGGCUUUGACUUCCCUGGAGUGCCAAUGGGAACAGCGCCAGGAAAUGCUGCCCAGGCCGUUGCUUUUGCUGGUAUGAAAGCAGCGCUCUCCUGGGUGAGGGGAAGUAUCAGCCUUCCUCUGCCAGGCCUGGGGGGCACGGAGGCUUUGCCAAAAAAAGACUUUUGGGCUGUUGUGAGCAGCGAUGUCCUAGAUGUGCCGCCUGCCCUGGGUUUGUUUGCGGUACCUGUUGCCCCUGGGAUGGAGUACUUGGGCCCAGGGGUGGUGAACUGGGCCAUGAUCGGGCCGCGGGGGCGGUGAGGUCUCCACGUCCCCACAAAGGCUCCGUCCAUGCUGGUGCCAGUGCUCCGCUUGGUGCACAGGACUUCUCCCCCGUCCCUCUGUGCCUCGGUACUGAGCCUUCAGAGGAAACAAAGCUAUCGCUGCUUCUUUCACCAGCAGACCGACAGCUGAAUCUCCAGUCCCAAAACCCAGGUCUGAAACCCGCCUCUCCCUGCGGGAGGAGCUCCACUUCACCUUUCUUAGCCUUGGAAGGAAAAUUCGGUGAGGAUGAGCGCUGCUGCUGUGGCUGCUCACAGUCACAGGGCACAGAGAGCUGCUGCGGACAGGCAGAGCUCAGGACAGACUCUGACUCUGGGGGAGGGUGUCAGCUGCCAGCUUUUAUAGGGGACGGCAUCGCCAUGGAAACGCAUUAUGACAGCAUAGAGGCUUCAGAACCAUGGUGACCCCAUCUGGGCUGUUACCUCCAAGGCUUGGGCUGGACCCCAUCUGGUAAAGUGUCUCUGGCCUCAGCCCAGGGAGAUGCCAGCCCUGUGCCCCCCAGGCUGGGGCGUGGAGCUGGGCUGUCCUUGGGGACAAGUCUCCAACUAGGGACUUAAACUAAUCCUUUUAGGACUAGUUUAAAGGUGGGAGUAAAUGGUCUUUUCCUACCCUGGAUGAUUUUACGAUCCUGUGUGAUGUAAACUUUUGUUCUGAGAGAAUACUGGAGAGACAAGGCCUCCUCUGAAACAGCACAGGAAGAUCUUGCAGAGCAAUGAAUGAUUACAACUUUGGAGCUAGGGCAGCACUGCUCACAUCCCUGUGUCUCAGUUCACUGAAGACACACCAUUUCUCCGGAAAACAGGGAAAUUGGGCUCUGAGGCAGCAGGUUCUCGAGUUUCAGGAGAACAACAGAGUGAGUUCAUCUCAUGUUUUUGCCAUGAUAGUGUAUGCACAAGAAUAAAAAAAGAUGGGUGAAAAAAAUCUAAAAUUUGGAUGGAUGCUUGGCUGUGGGGUGCGAGUGGGUAGGGAGGGCCCUGUGUGCGGUGGCACUGAAGAUGUGUGUAGUGUCCAUGUACUUGGAGAGGGUCUGAGACGAUGUAGAAGAUUGUGGUACAUGUGACAUGGACUGAGGGUUGGAAUUCAUUUCUUCCCAAUCUCCUGAAAUUACCAUUUCCUCCUGGUGUUCCUAAUUUCCUCCUCAUCUCCGCUGCCCCCCUUGUUGUCCAUGAUGCCCCCAAGCCCAGCAGCCAGGCCGAGGGCAUCCUUGUCGUACCCCCUGUACCGCAUGUCCCCGCUUUGGGGUGGUGGGGACAGGGGCAGACCCCCCUCCUUGUCCGAGCACCCUGUGUGCAUCCAGCCCCUUUCACAAGUGCCCUGGGAGCACCCCACACCUUGCUUAAGCACCUCCUGCCCUCCCAGCCCCUCACAAGGGCAUCCUGGGAGCACCAAGCGUCUCACACGCCCCUUGUACUAAAUAAACUGCAGGGCAGUGCUUGAGGCAGUUAACCUAGGGGCACUUAAACCCAGGGGACACGUAACCGUGGGUAUGCUUAUGUGAUAGCUCGAAGUACUUGCAAGCUACAGGUAGUAUCAGCAGAAAAUGUACUGUUAUUGCUGCCCCAACUCUCCUGGGGUGAUUUCAUGAAAGCCACUUCAUCCAUCUCCAGGGAAACUGAAUUGAAAGACUUGGUCACCGUAAGCUCCCUAAACACAGCGAUGAAUGGACAGAUAGUGUGGAGGAAUGGUUAAGUGAAGUAGGUCAUGUGAAUGUUGAACAACUUGGAGGUCGCGAGCUAAAAAAGUAUCGAACGCAGCUCAUAUGAGUCUGGCCGAUGGCGGGAAGCCAAUCAAGGGACAAAGGCAUUGUGUCAGUGUGUGGAUGGGAAAGUACCUAAGACGGGAUAACGGUUGAGGGAAUGAGGAGCUAGCUGAUAAGAUAGGGAAAGUUGCACUAACCAAUAGUGAGCUUAGCUUUUGCAAUAUGUAUGAGCUAAUUAUAUUGAAUCAUAUAAAAGACGGCUGAGCUAUCCAAUAAAUCGAAGUUCACUGAUCACUCA